AACGAACGUUAGCGGUGUGGAUUAGGCAUGCAAGUCGUGCGCGAAAGCCUUCGGGCGAGUAAAGCGGCGAAAGGGUGAGUAACACGUAAUCAAUCUACCCCGAAGACCGGAAUAACUAUCGGAAACGGUGGCUAAUACCGGAUGAGCCGAAAGGUAAAAGAUUCAUUGCCCACAGAUGAGCUCGCGUCUGAUUAGCUAGUUGGUAAGGUAAAAGCGUACCAAGGCGACGAUCAGUAGCUGGUCUGAGAGGAUGAGCAGCCACACUGGGACUGAGACACGGCCCAGACUCCUACGGGAGGCAGCAGUGGGGAAUUUUCCGCAAUGGGCGAAAGCCUGACGGAGCAAGACCGCGUGGGGGAGGAAGGUUUUUGGAUCGUAAACCCCUUUUGUCAAGGAGAAGCUCUGACGGUACUUGACGAAUAAGCCUCGGCUAACUCCGUGCCAGCCGCC
rnacentral:rRNA from 1 species